UACGUAGGGUGCGAGCGUUAAUCGGAAUUACUGGGCGUAAAGCGUGCGUAGGCGGCGCGUUAAGUCAGGUGUGAAAGCCCCGAGCUUAACUUGGGAAUUGCGCUUGUGACUGGCGUGCUGGAGUGUGGCAGAGGGAGGUGGAAUUCCACGUGUAGCAGUGAAAUGCGUAGAGAUGUGGAGGAACACCGAUGGCGAAGGCAGCCUCCUGGGCCAGCACUGACGCUCAUGCACGAAAGCGUGGGGAGCAAACAGG
rnacentral:rRNA from 1 species